rnacentral:rRNA from 1 species
CCAAGGAGUCUAACAUGUGCGCGAGUCUCGGUGCUUCAAAACACCAAGGCGCAGUGAAAGCGAAGGCUUGCCUUUGCGCUCGCUGAGGGGAGAUCCGUCGUCGGCCCAGCGCCGCGGCGGCGCAUCCCCGGGGCGUCUGCGAAGGCGUCGGCUUGCCGGCGUCCGGGCAGGCGCACCUAGAGCGCACAUGUUGGGACCCGAAAGAUGGUGACCUAUGCCCGGCCAGGACGAAGCCAGGGGAAACUCUGGUGGAGGUCCGCAGCGAUUCUGACGUGCAAAUCGAUCGUCUGAGCCGGGUAUAGGGGCGAAAGACUAAUCGAACCAUCUAGUAGCUGGUUCCGGCCGAAGUUUCCCUCAGGAUAGCUGGCGCUCGCUCGUCAAGGAGUCUCAUCCGGUAAAGCGACUGAUUGGAGGCUUUGGGGUCGCAAUGACCUCGACCUACUCUCAAACUUUAAAUGGGUGAGAAGCAGAGCCUUCCUAAACGGUCGAGGCUCUGCGCCUUCUUGUCGGGAUCCACGAGUGUCUAGUGGGCCAUUUUUGGUAAGCAGAACUGGCGCUGUGGGAUGAACCAAACGCCCGGUUAAGGUGCCCGACUUGACGCGCAUGAGACACCAUUAAAGGCGUCGGUGGCUGAAGACAGCAGGACGGUGGCCAUGGAAGUCGGCA